rnacentral:rRNA from 1 species
GACGAACGCUGGCGGCGUGCCUAAUACAUGCAAGUCGAGCGCAUAGGCGAGGUGCUUGUAUCUCUGAUGUUAGCGGCGAACGGGUGAGUAACGCGUGGAUAAUCUACCUAUAAGAGUGGGACAACUUCGGGAAACGGGAGCUAAUACCGGAUGAUAUCUUGAACCACAAGGUUCAAAAGUGAAAGACGGUAUUGCUGUAACUAAUAGAGGGAUCCGCGCUGCUUUGGCUGGUUGUGAGGGUAACGGCCUCCCAGGGGAAGGAUGCAUACCCGACCUGGGGGGGUGAUCGGCAACACGGGAACUGGGCCCGGCCCCAGACCCCUACGGGAGGAAGCAGAAGGGAAUCUUCGGCAAUGGGGGAAAGCCUAACGGAGCAAGGCGGCGUGGUGGAUAAAGGUUUCGGGUUCGUAAAACUCGGUUGUUGGGGAGGAACAUAUGUGUAAGGAACAGUGCACAUAGUGACGGUAACUAAUCAGAAAGCGACGGCUAACUACGUG